rnacentral:rRNA from 1 species
UACAGAGGGUGCGAGCGUUGUCCGGAAUCACUGGGCGUAAAGGGCGCGUAGGCGGCUUGAUAAGCGUGCGGUGAAAGCCCGGGGCUCAACCCCGGGUCGGCCGUGCGAACUGUCGAGCUGGAGCACUGUAGAGGCAGGUGGAAUUCCGGGUGUAGCGGUGGAAUGCGUAGAGAUCGGGAAGAACACCGGUGGCGAAGGCGGCGAGCUGGUCCAUUACUGACGCUGAGGCGCGACAGCGUGGGGAGCAAACAGG